rnacentral:rRNA from 1 species
UGGGGAAUCUUGCACAAUGGGGGCAACCCUGAUGCAGCGACGCCGCGUGAGCGAUGAAGGUUUUCGAAUCGUAAAGCUCUGUCCUAUGGGAAGAUAAUGACGGUACCAUAGGAGGAAGCCCCGGCUAACUACGUGCCAGCAGCCGCGGUAAUACGUAGGGGGCGAGCGUUGUCCGGAAUUACUGGGCGUAAAGGGUUCGCAGGCGGCAUGGCAAGUCCGAUGUAAAAGGCGAAGGCUCAACCUUCGUAAGCAUCGGAAACUGUCAAGCUUGAGUGGAGGAGAGGGAAGUGGAAUUCCUAGUGUAGCGGUGGAAUGCGUAGAUAUUAGGAGGAAUACCGGUGGCGAAGGCGACUUGCUGGACUUCAACUGACGCUGAGGAACGAAAGCGUGGGUAGCAAACAGG